rfam:Methanoculleus marisnigri MPJ_scaffold_765, whole genome shotgun sequence.
GCUGCUAUAGUGUAGGGGCCAAUCAUGUCGGCCUUUCACGCCGACGACAGGGGUUCGAAUCCCCUUAGCAGCA